UCUGAUCCAUGAUGACCUUUUUGAAAUGAGACGGACUGCUGGAUGAAGCUUGCGGAUAUGGGACUGAGAUCAGGC
rnacentral:snoRNA from 1 species